GACGAACGCUGGCGGCGUGCUUAACACAUGCAAGUCGAGCGAGGGCCCCUCCUUCGGGAGGGUGUCCUAGCGGCGAACGGGUGAGUAACACGUGGGCAAUCUGCCCCUAGCACUGGAAUAACCCCGGGAAACCGGGGCUAAUACCGGAUACGACCUAGCAGGGCAUCCUGCAUGGUGGAAAGAUUUAUCGGCUAGGGAUGAGCCCGCGGCCUAUCAGCUAGUUGGUGGGGUAACGGCCACCAAGGCGACGACGGGUAGCCGGCCUGAGAGGGCGACCGGCCACACUGGGACUGAGACACGGCCCAGACUCCUACGGGAGGCAGCAGUGGGGAAUAUUGCGCAAUGGGCGAAAGCCUGACGCAGCGACGCCGCGUGAGGGACGAAGGCCUUCGGUUGG
rnacentral:rRNA from 1 species